rnacentral:rRNA from 1 species
CGGAGACACGGCCCAGACUCCUACGGGAGGCAGCAGUGGGGAAUAUUGCACAAUGGGCGGAAGCGUGAUGCAGCGACGCCGCGUGAGGGAUGACGGCCUUCGGGUUGUAAACCUCUUUCGACAGGGACGAAGCGUGAGUGACGGUACCUGGAGAAGAAGCGCCGGCCAACUACGUGCCAGCAGCCGCGGUAAGACGUAGGGCGCGAGCGUUGUCCGGAUUUAUUGGGCGUAAAGAGCUCGUAGGCGGCUCGUUGCGUCGGCUGUGAAAACCCGCAGCUCAACUGUGGGCUUGCAGCCGAUACGGGCGGGCUAGGAUUCGGUAGGGGAGACUGGAAUUCCUGGUGUAGCGGUGAAAUGCGCAGAUAUCAGGAGGAACACCGGUGGCGAAGGCGGGUCUCUGGGCCGAUAUCGACGCUGAGGAGCGAAAGCGUGGGGAGCGAACAGGAUUAGAUACCCUGGUAGUCCACGCUGUAAACGUUGGGCGCUAGGUGUGGGGGGCCUCUCCGGUUCUCUGUGCCGCAGCUAACGCAUUAAGCGCCCCGCCUGGGGAGUACGGCCGCAAGGCUAAAACUCAAAGGAAUGGACG